rnacentral:tmRNA from 2 species
GGGGGCGUAAAGGUUUCGACGGGGAUUUUGAAGUUCAGUAAGCGAGCAGAGCGGGCGGAAGCUCUUUAAUCGCCGCACCUAAAUAUAAACGCUAAUAACAACAAUUAUCGUUUAGCUUACGCUGCUUAAUUUAAGCGGCAGCCUGCGCUGAGUAGCACCGCGGAUUCAGCCCGGGCCUAAUUUAGCGGUCAACGUCCUGGGGGAGUUUCCCGGCCCCUUUGACGUAUCAGGGAAUACCUCCUGGCUCAGCCUGCCGGCUGGCGGAUUCAGGAGGGAAUCUCAAACAACCGGCUGCGCUCGGAGAAAGCUGGAUGAAUAGGUUUUCGGACGGGAGUUCGACUCUCCCCGCCUCCACCA